UUGAGUAGUAUUAGUUAUGUUCUUGAAACUUAAAAAAUUUGGCGGUAUUUUAGUCUAUUCAGAGGAACCUGUUCUAUAAUCGAUAUUCCACGAUGGACCUUACUUAAAUUUGUUUUCAGUUUAUAUACCGUCGUUAUCAGAAUAUUUUAUAAGAAUAAUAAUUUUCUAUAAUUUUAAUUGGAAUUUAUAUCAGAUCAAGGUGUAGCUUAUGUUUAAGUAGAAAUGGGUUACAAUAAAUAUAUUUAUAUGAAUAUAAAUAUGAAAACUUUAUUGAAAUUGGAUUUGACAGUAAAAUUAUAUAGAUAAAUAAUUUGAUUUUAGCUCUAAAAUAUGCACACAUCGCCCGUCGCUCUUAUUAUUAAGAUAAGAUAAGUCGUAACAUAGUAGAUGUACCGGAAGGUGCCUCUAGAAUGACAAUUUAAAGCUUAUUUAGUAAAGCAUUUCAUUUACAUUGAAAAUAUUUUUGUGCAAAUCAAUAUAAAUUGAAUAAAAUUUAUUUAUUAAUAAUGUUUUUUUUUUAUUUAAUUUAUUAAAAAUAAUUAUAAAAUUGGUUGUUUUAGUAUUGUAUAAAGAAUAAAUAAUUUUAAUAAUAGUUAAUUAGUAUUGUGAAAGAUUAUUGAAAUAAUUUGAAAA
rnacentral:rRNA from 1 species